GGGAGUAGCUGGUGGCCUGGUGGCACCCCUGGACUUCAAAUCCAGUGAUGGGCUGAAGAGGUCCGUGGUGGGUUCGAUUCCCAUCUACUCCCGCCA
rnacentral:tRNA from 1 species